UAGGGAAUCUUCGGCAAUGGGGGCAACCCUGACCGAGCAACGCCGCGUGAGUGAAGAAGGUUUUCGGAUCGUAAAGCUCUGUUGUAAGAGAAGAACGUGUGUGAGAGUGGAAAGUUCACACAGUGACGGUAACUUACCAGAAAGGGACGGCUAACUACGUGCCAGCAGUCGCGGUAAUACGUAGGUCCCGAGCGUUGUCCGGAUUUAUUGGGCGUAAAGCGAGCGCAGGCGGUUUAAUAAGUCUGAAGUUAAAGGCAGUGGCUUAACCAUUGUUCGCUUUGGAAACUGUUAAGCUUGAGUGCAGGAGGGGAGAGUGGAAGUCCGUGUGUAGCGGUGAAAUGCGUAGAUAUAUGGAGGAACACCGGUGGCGAAAGCUGCUCUCUGGGCUGUAACUGACGCUGAGGCUCGAAAGCGUGGGGAGCAAACAGG
rnacentral:rRNA from 1 species